rnacentral:rRNA from 1 species
GGACCCGCCUGCCCUGUGACUCUAAGUUCAACGGCCGCGGUAUUUUAACCGUGCGAAGGUAGCGUAAUCACUUGUCUCUUAAAUGGGGACCUGUAUGAAUGGCAUAACGAGGGCUUAACUGUCUCCUUUUUCAGGUCAAUGAAAUUGAUCUCCCCGUGCAGAAGCGGGGAUAAACACAUAAGACGAGAAGACCCUAUGGAGCUUUAGACACUAAGAUAGAUCAUGUUAAACACUCCCUGACAAAGGAAAUAAACCAAAUGAUCCCCUUUCCCAAUGUCUUCGGUUGGGGCGACCACGGAGAAACACAGAACCCCCGUGCAGAACGAAAGCACUGCUUUCACAACUAAGAGCUCCCGCUCUAAUAAACAGAAAUUCUGACUACAUGAUCCGGCACCGCCGAUCAACGAACCAAGUUACCCUAGGGAUAACAGCGCAAUCCUCUUCUAGAGUCCAUAUCGACAAGAGGGUUUACGACCUCGAUGUUGGAUCAGGACAUCCUAAUGGUGCAGCCGCUAUUAAGGGUUCGUUUGUUCAACG